rnacentral:lncRNA from 1 species
CCUCACAAGGACAAUAGAGCACUUCAUUUAAAGGAACAGGGACUUCUGGAAAAAGGUCAGAGGACUUACGGAAUUACCAUGUGCAAGGAUUUAUUUAUUACACUAAGUAUGCUAAAUAAACUACUUGUUGUUUAAGUUCAUGUCUUCAUGGUUACUUUUAAGACAAUCUUCUGUCUGCUUCUAGAAUCUCUUGUAUUAAACAAUUAUUUUUGUGAGCACGCACAGGCCCUGAUUUUCUGACUUUGCUGCCUCAAAAACCAACCAACCAAAUUAUUGUGACACUGGAAAAGCACUCAUAAAAGAGCAGUAAAAGUCACCAAGGGCCCAGAGAGAUGUUCCUGUGGGGAAAGUUUCUUGGAAAGCAGAUAACUAAAUGGGCACAUGGAAAGAAUAGAAAAUAAUUUUCUCAUAACACAUGAACAAAUACAGUCUGUGAAAUUUUAAAGGUUGAAUAGUCAAAAUCAAUGAAAAAAAUGUUUCUUUUACACUGUCUGAGUAAACUCCAGAAAUUCACAGUUAUUUUACUGAAGCUAAAAGCUUAACAAGACCCCAAAUUUGACAUUUAUUUAGAUAACAGAUGAACUUUGCACAAAGUAAGAGAUAGUGGUUAUAGAGAAUAUAUGUUUCAAAGGUCAGAUGUAUAACAAUGUACAACAAUAAUAAUCUUGAAAUUAGAAAGUUUUUGUUCUUGGCUUUGACAGCAACGGGGAAAAAUCUGGUGCUGAAAAUCCUUCUGGCUGGAUUUACAAAGAGAAUCAGGAAAAAUAUCAGAGGGAAAAGAGGCAGAUGUUCUGAAAAUACAGAUGGGAGCCUUGGAAAGAGAGGAAAGAGUAGGAGGAACUUCAGCAUCUUCUUGAAAAGUUUUAUGGCCUUGUGA